CACAGACAGACAGACAGACAGACAGAGGGUAAGGUUCACAGGACAGCAUCCAGUCAGGCACGGACUGAGACUCACACAGCAGACAAAGGAUGACAGAGACACACGGAGAGACAAGGAUGAGGGACUAAGUGCCAGAGACUCCAGCUGCUGGCCUCUGAGGAACACAGAAGGUGGGUCAGUAAAUCAGCUACAGUAGCAGAGUAACAUAGACUUAGUCAUAACUGCCCAGCGACACUUACAAUACGAUGAGGUUGGCGGCUCUGGAAUGCUCCUGUAACAGCUCGUUCAGUCGAACUUGGCGGUAACUCUGUGGACAGUAUUUAGAUGGGGUUGAGUGCAGGUCUAUCAGAAAUCUGAACGAGAAUUUAUCUUCUUACCUCAAGUCAUGGAUAAGCAGAAGCGAGACCUGGGGAUUGAACUCAGGACAUCUGACAAGCUAUCUUGCUAGCUCCAGGUACAUCUGUAUUCUUUAUUCUAAGCAAUACAUCAUAACUUUCUGUAGAUAUUUUUAUUAGGUUUUCACAGCUAUGUUUAACAGGUUAAAGGUCUUUGCUGUUGUUUAAAUUUUGUUAAACUUACCUUUAUCCACAUUGCAUGACUAAUGACUUAUUUUAGAUUAUUAAGAAUAAAUUUCAGAGGAGUCAUCACAAUAUGGAGCAAUAACUUGUUUCAUUAACUUUAAAAUAGGUUAUUUUCCAGGAAAAAAUGAAAACAUUUUCUAAAUGAUUUUAUCCAGUCAUAUGAUUAAAAAGCACCUAAAAAUACAGGGUGCUCAGGAAGUCAGGUUGACCAGAUGUCUCACUUCUUGAAAUCAACCCGUUACAUUCUUUAUCUAAUUACACAUUAAAGUGAAAACAUAGGGAGACAAGU
rnacentral:sRNA from 1 species